CCGUCUACUGGAGGCUUUUACGGCCGCAGCAGGGGCCUGGCUGCUCGCCCCGUCGACGGGCACCACCUUGGCAAAGCCGCGCUCACAGCAAAGCAGCAGAGACUUUUGUGGCAGGGUUUUUUGUUUUGUUUUGUUUUGUUUUGUUUUUGCUUUUCUUUUCUUUUUUUUAAUGAGCUGGGAGUAGGGCGGGACAAUGAGUAGACAUCCUCCUGUGAUGAUUUCCUCCCGACCCUGGGGUUUCAACUAGGGAAACUCCAGGUGGCCACACCCCCUCCAUAGUUCGCCCCCGGGCAGGUUUACCUGUGCACCAGAAAAUCAGCCUGUGAAAAAGUUUCAGGCGGCAGCAACACUGAGCUAAAUCCCUGGCCCGGUCCUACCUCGGCUGUGUUCUGGACUAGUCCCUGGAGUUAUGGAACUGCAGUCGUAAAGGAAUUCAGAGAAGCAAGAAAAACAUCAAAAAAAUAAAAAGAUGCUGUGGCCAUCAUUCUAGACCAUACAACCAUGCACUGAGAUGAUGGAUUUGCUGCAAGCAGCUCAAUGUAAACCCCUGCUGAGAGCCAUGCAAGGCUGCAUCUGAGGAUUCCCUUCAUGUGCUGUGGCCCUUGGACUUGUGGAGAUCACCAGACCUGAUACACUCUCUGCCAAUGAAACCCAGGAACAAACAGGCCCCAAGGACAAUUGCAGUUCACCCUGAUGCAGCUGCUGCCAUUUCCAAACAGAGAAGCGGGAAAUUCAGGAGACUGUAAUAUUGAUGAUGCCCAAGUGGGGUGUAAAGAAUUAACCCUGCAAUUGGCUUGUUUAUAAGAGUGAGUCGGGCUGGAGCCUAUGUGCCAGAGUAACUUGUACCCAAAUUCCUUUUCCAGAAUUCAAACCUUCUUACUUGAAGGGCAACAUUCUAUUUACAACCAUGUAUUUUGCCUAUUCUGUUCCUAAUUCAAGAAUGCUUUGUCUUGCCUUUUAUGAGCUUUGCUUACAUUAAUUUCUAUAGAAACUGCCCAAUUUUGUGUCCUUGUUCUGCCCUGCACUUGGCACACAACUCAC